GACGAACGCUGGCGGCGUGGAUUAGGCAUGCAAGUCGAACGGUAUCAUCCUUUCGGGGGUGAGAGAGUGGCGAACUGGUGAGUAACACGUAGGUUAUCUACCCUCAAGACGGGGACAACCCAGGGAAACUUGGGCUAAUACCGGAUGUGAGCAACUUUUUAGUUGUUUGAAAGGUGGCGUAAGCUGUCGCUUGGGGAUGAGCCUGCGUCCUAUUAGUUAGUUGGUGAGGUAACGGCUCACCUAGGCAAUGAUAGGUAGGCGGCCUUAACGGGUGGUCGCCCACACUGGGAUUGAGAUACGGCCCAGACUCCUACGGGAGGCAGCAGUCGAGAAUAGUCUACAAUGGUCGGAAGACUGAUAGUGCGACGCCGCGUGAACGAUGAAUCCCUUCGGGGUGUAAAGUUCUUUUAUAUGUGAGCAGUGCUUCUUAUAUUAACAGUAUGGGGAGAGAGAUAUUAGCAUAUGAAUAAGCAACGGCUAACUCCGUGCCAGCAGCCGCGGUAAUCUCG
rnacentral:rRNA from 1 species